rnacentral:misc_RNA from 1 species
CAAAUGGAUUGCCAGGGGUGAGAGUGCAAGGCCUGCUGUUCUACUUUCUGUAGAUGAAGGGCUGAUCAUAUCCACACUUGGAACUGCUGGCAAGACAUAUAGUUCUACUCUCUUGGAUGCAUCAUGGGAAGUUCUCCGUCACUCAUUACGUCAAAAAAAGUCCCUUAUAUUGGGAAAAUAUAUGCCUAUGCAUCACUGGGGAAUCUCCAGAAGGCUUUUAGUACUCUUCGUGAAUUUGAGUCUGCUUAUGGGAGUACGGACAAAGAAGCAGCAGGAGAAUUGUUCUCACCAUUUACUUCUUUAUAUCCUUUGGUUGUGGCAUGCUCAAAGAAGGGUUUUGAGACUCUGGACCUGGUUUAUUUUCAGUUGGAGAAUUUGAGCCGUGCAGAAAGUCCAUACAAGUCAGUUGCUGCUCUUAAUUGUAUAGUUUUAGGUUGUGCAAAUGUAUGGGACCUUGACCGUGCUUAUCAAACUUUUGAGGCGAUUGGCUCUUCCUUUGGAUUGACUCCUGAUAUUCAUUCGUACAAUGCUCUUAUGUAUGCUUUUGGAAGGCUCAAGAAGACAUUUGAGGCUGCAAGGGUGUUUGAGCAUAUGGUAAGCUUAGGGAUCAAACCCAACUCAACAUCAUAUUCCUUGCUUGUUGAUAANNNNNCAAUCGAGAUGUGAAAUCUGCUCUCUCUGUAAUUGACGAGAUGGUGUCCGUAGGAUUUGUCCCCUCAAAGGAAACACUAAAGAAGGUCAGAAGGCGUUGUGUCCGUGAGAUGGACUAUGACAAUGAUGAUCGUUUGCACUCCUUGGCUAAACAGUUCAAAAUUCGAAUGGGUACUGAGACUCGUAGGGACAUGCUGUUCAAUCUUGAUUAUGGCACUGAUUAUGCUUGAUAGGUUGCUUAUCAUUCUUCUUGACAAAGUUUGCGCAGUUCGUAUGUGCAGUUUGUAUCGCAUGAACACUUAUUUUUAAACAAGAAUUCAUUCUUGUUUGUAAAUUACUGUGUUGUACUCAAUUUUGGGUUUUGGCAGCAUGACUCUUAGGAUCAUAGCCUCCUAUAGUCAUAAGUUUAUUUCACAUUAAAAUUAUUUUCUACAAAAGCUGCAGGGGUGGUGAGAUGAUCCAAAUAAUGGUUACUAAUAAUUGUAGGACAGUCUUUAUUAUUUAUUUAGGGUGGAAAUUCUGCUUUAGGUGAGACCAGAACUGGGAAAUGGCUUAAAUGUCAGUUUCUUUCUUUACCCCUCGUUUGGAAUUUGCCUGCUUUCUGUAAAUGCUGAUACUAAUUUUGGGCAGUAAGGAUUUUGUUUUGCAACUCAUUUUUGUGGAGCUUAUAUUUUAAUAAUAAAAUAU